rnacentral:rRNA from 1 species
AGAUUGAACGCUGGCGGCAGACGAACGCUGGCGGCGUGGCCUAACACAUGCAAGUCGAGCGGUAGAGAGAAGCUUGCUUCUCUUGAGAGCGGCGGACGGGUGAGUAAUGCCUAGGAAUCUGCCUGGUAGUGGGGGAUAACGUUCGGAAACGGACGCUAAUACCGCAUACGUCCUACGGGAGAAAGCAGGGGACCUUCGGGCCUUGCGCUAUCAGAUGAGCCUAGGUCGGAUUAGCUAGUUGGUGGGGUAAUGGCUCACCAAGGCGACGAUCCGUAACUGGUCUGAGAGGAUGAUCAGUCACACUGGAACUGAGACACGGUCCAGACUCCUACGGGAGGCAGCAGUGCCGAAUAUUGGACAAUGGGCGAAUGCCUGAUCCACGGAUGCCGCGUGACCGAAGAUGGUCUUCGGAAAGUAAAGCACAAUAAGUUGGGAGGAACCCCAGUAAAUUAAUACUUUGCUGAAUUGACGUUACCGACAGAAUAAGCACCGGCUAACAGAGUGCCAGCAGAAGCGGUAAUAGUGAGGAACCAAGCGUUAAUCGGAAUUACUGGGCGUAAAGCGCGCGUAGGUGGUUCGUUAAGUUGGAUGUGAAAUCCCCGGGCUCAACCUGGGAACUGCAUUCAAAACUGACGAGCUAGAGUAUGGUAGAGGGUGGUGGAAUUUCCUGUGUAGCGGUGAAAUGCGUAGAUAUAGGAAGGAACACCAGUGGCGAAGGCGACCACCUGGACUGAUACUGACACUGAGGUGCGAAAGCGUGGGGAGCAACAGGAUUAGAUACCCUGGUAGUCCACGCCGUAAACGAUGUCAACUAGCCGUUGGGAGCCUUGAGCUCUUAGUGGCGCAGCUAACGCAUUAAGUUGACCGCCUGGGGAGUACGGCCGCAAGGUUAAAACUCAAAUGAAUUGACGG